UUUGGCUGAUCAUUUGAAAUGUAUUGGUGUUGUCUAGCUGACAGUCGCCGCGUAAGCAUUGUUAAUCAUCUUUAUUGAUGUUCCUUGCUACUACACGGGCCACGACAAUAAGCAUUAUUAGACAAUCCAAGCGCAAACUCCAAAUACUUGUAUUUAACCAUCUUGAUCUCAGAUCAGGCAGGAUGACCCGCUGAACUUAA
rnacentral:misc_RNA from 1 species